rnacentral:lncRNA from 1 species
UCCGGGCUUCGCGGACACGCUGGGCUGGGUUUCAGUCGCGGCUCCGAGGGCUGGAGAACCUCUCUCUUAAGUGGAUAUUUUUCCCCUCAAACGACUUCUCCGACAUGAUCCUCUCUGAGGUUGGUCCCGGGCUUCCAUACGUGAUUCAUGGAAGAGGUCUCAGCCCCAAGAGCCCCUGAGGGUACUGUCCACUCCCCCUGGAAACUUCCAGAACCUGACGUGGGGCUGAAGACAUAGAGGUAAUGGGGGUGGGCUGGUGGGGCGCUGGCUGGGACAAUGUGUGGAGCCCUUGUUUUCAGAGCUACAGAUGCUUGUCAGCUGACAGUCCGUUUCCAGCAUCCACAGUGGACCUCCUUUGGGGGAGCAUUUACCUGCCAAUGAACCCCAAGAUCCUUUCUCAGAGGCGGCGGGA